CCUACGGGAGGCAGCAGUAGGGAAUCUUCCACAAUGGGCGAAAGCCUGAUGGAGCAACGCCGCGUGGGUGAAGAAGGUCUUCGGAUCGUAAAACCCUGUUGUUAGAGAAGAAAGUGCGUGAGAGUAACUGUUCACGUUUCGACGGUAUCUAACCAGAAAGCCACGGCUAACUACGUGCCAGCAGCCGCGGUAAUACGUAGGUGGCAAGCGUUAUCCGGAUUUAUUGGGCGUAAAGGGAACGCAGGCGGUCUUUUAAGUCUGAUGUGAAAGCCUUCGGCUUAACCGGAGUAGUGCAUUGGAAACUGGGAAACUUGAGUGCAGAAGAGGGGAGUGGGACUCCAUGUGUAGCGGUGAAAUGCGUAGAUAAAUGGAAGAACACCAGUGGCGAAAGCGGCUCUCUGGUCUGUAACUGGCGCUGAGGUUCGAAAGCGUGGGUAGCAAACAGGAUUAGAUACCCCAGUAGUC
rnacentral:rRNA from 1 species